rnacentral:snoRNA from 1 species
CUUGCCCUUUAAGGUGUUGUAGAUGUGACUAUGGUGUCACAUAUGCGUCCAUAGGUAGCAGAGAGGAGAGGGGUUCUGCUCCGAGUACAUCUAAACAACUACUAGCCUAACAUU